rnacentral:rRNA from 1 species
UACGUAGGGUGCAAGCGUUGUCCGGAAUUAUUGGGCGUAAAGAGCUCGUAGGCGGUUUGUCGCGUCGGCUGUGAAAGCCCGGAGCUCAACCUCGGGCCUGCAGUGGGUACGGGCAGACUAGAGUGCGGUAGGGGAGAAUGGAAUUCCUGGUGUAGCGGUGGAAUGCGCAGAUAUCAGGAGGAACACCGAUGGCGAAGGCAGUUCUCUGGGCCGUAACUGACGCUGAGGAGCGAAAGCGUGGGGAGCGAACAGG